UUUAGCUAAAGUGACAUUUAUUUCAUUUAGGGUUAAAAUUUUGGUCUUCUUCUUCCAAAAGGCCGAUUUCUGAAAAAUGGAAAGAAUAACGUGAGCUCCGGUUAAUGGCAGUACAUUUCUUCAACAAGCUCCGGUCUUCUUCUUCUUCAUAGUGAGGUAGUCUUCUUCUUCGGUUUGACAAGUCUUCUUCUUCAUCUCCAUUGAUCUUAUUCUCCAACAGUAAUCUUCUUCGACCGCAAGCUUUUGCAUAUAAAGUUUUGUCUCAGAUUGGAGACUCUUUUGCCUUCCGAAGCUCAUCGAAAUCGGCUCGUGGUCGUGGAAGCUUGUGGCUAGCUCGUGCUCAGUGUCGCUGCUCCAAAGAAGAUUUGAAUAGUCAUGAGUCAACAAGAGCCUUCAAAAGAAACAAAAGAGCAAAAAAAGAACUUCGCUAGACCUGGAUCAUUAUCAUUCUUGGCAAAUAAAAAACGACGAUUAUUGACAACAAAUAAAAUUGUUCAAGAUAUAGAGUCAGAGAAAGGACAUCUUCUAAAAUUAAUUGAAGAACAAGG